GUCUCAGAUGAGACAUUGGACUAGACUUUUUAGUUAAUGCUGAAAUGAGUUAAGACUUUGGGGGACUGUUGGGAAGGCAUGAUUGAUUUUGAAAUGUGAGGACCUGAGAUUUGAGAGGGGCUGGGGUGGAAUGAUAUGGCUUGGCUGUGUCCCCACCCAAAUCUCAUCUUGAAUUCCCAUGUGUUGUGGAAGGGACCCGGUGGGAGGUAACUGAAUUACGGAGGCAGGCCUUUCCCUUGCUGUUCUUGUGGUAGUGAAUAAGUUUCAUGAGAUCUGAUGGUUUUAUAAAGAGGAGUUCCCCUGAAAAUCUCUCUUUCUUUGCCUGCUGCCAUCCAUGUAAGAUGUGACUUGCUCCUCCUUGUCUUCCACCAUGAUUAUGAGGCUUCCCCAGCCACAUGGAACUGCAAGUUCAAUUAAACCUCUUUCCUUUGUACAUUGCCCAGUCUUGGGUAUGUCUCUAUCAGCAGCAUGAAAACAGGCUAAUACAACUACAUUUCCAGUUGUUUUACCCCUUGAUUUGCUACAACCAGUUUGCUCAUUUGUCAUUCUCAAUUUAACUGUCUUUUAUCUCCACUCCAAUCCCAG
rnacentral:lncRNA from 10 species